rnacentral:rRNA from 1 species
UACGAAGGGGGCUAGCGUUGUUCGGAUUUACUGGGCGUAAAGCGCGCGUAGGCGGAUCACUAAGUCAGGGGUGAAAUCCCGAGGCUUAACCUCGGAACUGCCUUUGAUACUGAUGAUCUGGAGAUCGGGAGAGGUUGGUGGAAUUCCGAGUGUAGAGGUGAAAUUCGUAGAUAUUCGGAGGAACACCAGAAGCGAAGGCGGCCAACUGGCCCGAUACUGACGCUGAGGCGCGAAAGCUAGGGGAGCAAACGGG